UUGAUCUUUUCCCACUCUUGGCUGAUGCCCAGAGAUCCACUCCCCUAUCCCACAGGCAUCACCUAAUUCCAUGUACAGAACUCCUCUAGUCUCUGUCCUUCUCCAAAUGCCCCUGCCCCCUUUAGGUUUCAUGGCUGCUAUGCUGCUUGCCUUUGGAUCAUCACAAACUACUCACCAACUACCAGUGUUUGUGUCAAUAUGCUUCCUGUAAUGAUUCCUAAUUUCUGGCCCUUUGUGACAGAAUCAAACUGAACCAGCUUAAUGGAUCACAAGCCAAGUCUGGACCACAGGUACCUGCAUGUGCACUGUGCUGUGAUUACAGGUCCCAGACCAUCUAUCAAGUCUUCAUCCUUCAACCCACAUGAAACUUUUACUGCUCACUUACUAUCACUACCAUACAACAUAAAGGAGAAUUUUAGUCAUCCACUGCUUUGUUAUCUUUGAAAUGUUUGUAUCUCCCUGAACAGUUUGUGAGCUCCUUAGGUCUCUUUUUAUAUCCUACAGUACCUAGCCAGGUCGUGGUAAGUGCUCAGCAUAUGCUUCUUAGAUU